GGGGAGGAAACAGGAUUAGAUACCCUGGUAGUCCAUGCCGUAAACGUGGGGCACUAGGUGUGGGGGACAUUCCACGUUUUCCGCGCCGUAGCUAACGCAUUAAGUGCCCCGCCUGGGGAGUACGGCCGCAAGGCUAAAACUCAAAGAAAUUGACGGGGGCCCGCACAAGCGGCGGAGCAUGCGGAUUAAUUCGAUGCAACGCGAAGAACCUUACCAAGGCUUGACAUGAACCGGAAAGGCGUAGAAAUACGUCCCCCACUUGUGGUCGGUUUACAGGUGGUGCAUGGUUGUCGUCAGCUCGUGUCGUGAGAUGUUGGGUUAAGUCCCGCAACGAGCGCAACCCUCGUUCUAUGUUGCCAGCACGUGAUGGUGGGGACUCAUAGGAGACUGCCGGGGUCAACUCGGAGGAAGGUGGGGAUGACGUCAAAUCAUCAUGCCCCUUAUGUCUUGGGCUUCACGCAUGCUACAAUGGCCGGUACAAAGGGUUGCGAUACUGUGAGGUGGAGCUAAUCCCAAAAAGCCGGUCUCAGUUCGGAUUGGGGUCUGCAACUCGACCCCAUGAAGUCGGAGUCGCUAGUAAUCGCAGAUCAGCAACGCUGCGGUGAAUACGUUCCCGGGCCUUGUACACACCGCCCGUCAAGUCACGAAAGUUGGUAACACCCGAAGCCGGUGGCCUAACCCCUUGUGGAGGGAGCCG
rnacentral:rRNA from 1 species